rnacentral:rRNA from 1 species
UCCAGACUCCUACGGGAGGCAGCAGUGAGGAAUAUUGGUCAAUGGGCGAGAGCCUGAACCAGCCAAGUCGCGUGAAGGAUGACGGCCCUACGGGUUGUAAACUUCUUUUGUCAGGGAGCAAUUGGGUCCACGCGUGGGCUUAGCGAGAGUACCUGAAGAAAAAGCAUCGGCUAACUCCGUGCCAGCAGCCGCGGUAAUACGGAGGAUGCGAGCGUUAUCCGGAUUUAUUGGGUUUAAAGGGUGCGUAGACGGAGUGUUAAGUCGGGGGUAAAGGCCGGGGGCUCACCCCGGGGGAGCCGUUGAAACUGGCUGUCUUGAGAUGUCGAGAGGUAUGCGGAAUGCGCAGUGUAGCGGUGAAAUGCUUAGAUAUUGCGCAGAACUCCGAUUGCGAAGGCAGCAUACCGGCGGCGAUCUGACGCUGAGGCACGAAAGCGUUGGUAUCGAACAGGAUUAGAUACCUCAGUAUU